GAUGAAGAACGUAGCGAAAUGCGAUAAGUAAUGUGAAUUGCAGAAUUCAGUGAAUCAUCGAAUAUUUGAACGCACAUUGCGCCCCCUGGUAUUCCGGGGGGCAUGCCUGUCCGAGCGUCAUUGCAACCUUCAAGCGCGGCUUGUGUGUUGGGUCUCGUCCCCCGUGGACGGGCCCGAAAGGCAGUGGCGGCGUCCCGACAUGGUGCCCGAGCGUAUGGGAAUCCUCUUCCGCUCGAAUCGGCCCAUGCGGCGCUGGUCGUAACCAAAUUUUUUACCGGUUGACCUCGGAUCAGGUAGGGAUACCCGCUGAACUUAAGCAUAUCAAUAAGCGGAGGA
rnacentral:misc_RNA from 1 species